rnacentral:rRNA from 1 species
UUACCUACGGGGCGCAGCAGUAGGGAAUCUUCGGCAAUGGACGAAAGUCUGACCGAGCAACGCCGCGUGAGUGAAGAAGGCUUUCGGAUCUUAAAACUCUUUUGGUAGAGAAGAACGUUGGUGAGCGUGGAAAGCUCAUCAAGUGACGGUAACUACCCAGAAAGGGACGGCUAACUACGUGCCAGCAGCCGCGGUAAUACGUUGGUCCCGAGCGUUGUCCGGAUUUCUUGGGCGUCAAGCGAUCGCA